rnacentral:rRNA from 1 species
AGUGAACGCUGGCGGUAGGCCUAACACAUGCAAGUCGAACGGCAGCACAGUAAGAGCUUGCUCUUACGGGUGGCGAGUGGCGGACGGGUGAGGAAUACAUCGGAAUCUACUUUUUCGUGGGGGAUAACGUAGGGAAACUUACGCUAAUACCGCAUACGACCUACGGGUGAAAGCAGGGGAUCUUCGGACCUUGCGCGAUUGAAUGAGCCGAUGUCGGAUUAGCUAGUUGGCGGGGUAAAGGCCCACCAAGGCGACGAUCCGUAGCUGGUCUGAGAGGAUGAUCAGCCACACUGGAACUGAGACACGGUCCAGACUCCUACGGGAGGCAGCAGUGGGGAAUAUUGGACAAUGGGCGCAAGCCUGAUGCAGCCAUACCGCGUGAGUGAAGAAGGCCUUCGGGUUGUAAAGCCCUUUUGUUGGGAAAGAAAAGCAGCAGGUUAAUACCCCGCUGUUCUGACGGUACCCAAAGAAUAAGCACCGGCUAACUUCGUG